CCUACGGGGGGCAGCAGUGGGGAAUAUUGCACAAUGGGGGGAACCCUGAUGCAGCGACGCCGCGUGGGUGAAGGAGCACCUCGGUGCGUAAAGCCCUAUCGGCAGGGAAGAAACAGACGGUACCUGACUAAGAAGCCCCGGCUAACUACGUGCAGCAGCCGCGGUAAUACGUAGGGGGCAAGCGUUAUCCGGAUUUACUGGAUGUAAAGGGAGCGUAGGUGGCAUGGUAAGCCAGAAGUGAAAACCCAGGGCUCAACUCUAUGGUUUGCUUUUGGAACUAUCAAGCUAGAGUGCUGGAGGGGUAA
rnacentral:rRNA from 1 species